CGGGAUAUAGUUCAGCCCGGUUAGAAUGCCUGCUUUGGGAGCAGGAGGUCGUGAGUUCGAAUCUCGCUAUCCCGA
rnacentral:tRNA from 1 species